GCGGUCGACCACCGUAGAAAUUUGGAUGGAGUCUGGUUACUGUAGAAGUCCUGCUGCUGGAGAAGUCCGGACAUUGACGAAGUCCGAAAGAAGCUCGGAGUAAAGUCGAUCGUGACAGGAGGAAGUCUGAAAGAAAUUCGGAGAGUAGUCGAUCACUGUAGAAAAUCGGCUGAUAGUGAAGCCCAGAGAGCAUUUGGAGCAGUCCGAUAGAUGACUGAAGGACCUCAUUAUUGGAGAAGUUCGGAGGGUACAGUAGGAGUUCAUCCAU
rnacentral:lncRNA from 1 species